UGAGUAACCUGCCCUUAACUCUGGGAUAAGCCUGGGAAACUGGGUCUAAUACCGGAUAUGACUCCUCAUCGCAUGGUGGGGGGUGGAAAGCUUUUUGUGGUUUUGGAUGGACUCGCGGCCUAUCAGCUUGUUGGUGAGGUAAUGGCUCACCAAGGCGACGACGGGUAGCCGGCCUGAGAGGGUGACCGGCCACACUGUGACUGAGACACGGCCCAGACUCCUACGGGAGGCAG
rnacentral:rRNA from 1 species